ACCAUUUAGUUUCCCCAGUGUGUGGAGUGCUGAAGGUUCAUUGAGUUACCAUUUAGUUUCCCCAGUGUGUGGAGUGCUGAAGGUUCAUUGAGUUACCAUUUAGUUUCCCCAGUGUGUGGAGUGCUGAAGGUUCAUUGAGUUACCAUUUAGUUUCCCCAGUGUGUGGAGUGCUGAAGGUUCAUUGAGUUACCAUUUAGUUUCCCCAGUGUGUGGAGUGCUGAAGGUUCAUUGAGUUACCAUUUAGUUUCCCCAGUGUGUGGAGUGCUGAAGGUUCAUUGAGUUACCAUUUAGUUUCCCCAGUGUGUGGAGUGCUGAAGGUUCAUUGAGUUACCAUUUAGUUUCCCCAGUGUGUGGAGUGCUGAAGGUUCAUUGAGUUACCAUUUAGUUUCCCCAGUGUGUGGAGUGCUGAAGGUUCAUUGAGUUACCAUUUAGUUUCCCCAGUGUGUGGAGUGCUGAAGGUUCAUUGAGUUACCAUUUAGUUUCCCCAGUGUGUGGAGUGCUGAAGGUUCAUUGAGUUACCAUUUAGUUUCCCCAGUGUGUGGAGUGCUGAAGGUUCAUUGAGUUACCAUUUAGUUUCCCCAGUGUGUGGAGUGCUGAAGGUUCAUUGAGUUACCAUUUAGUUUCCCCAGUGUGUGGAGUGCUGAAGGUUCAUUGAGUUACCAUUUAGUUUCCCCAGUGUGUGGAGUGCUGAAGGUUCAUUGAGUUACCAUUUAGUUUCCCCAGUGUGUGGAGUGCUGAAGGUUCAUUGAGUUACCAUUUAGUUUCCCCAGUGUGUGGAGUGCUGAAGGUUCAUUGAGUUACCAUUUAGUUUCCCCAGUGUGUGGAGUGCUGAAGUUUCAUUGAGUUACCAUUUAGUUUCCUCUGUUUGUGGUGUGCUGAUUGUUCCGGGUGGAGAUUAUAACAGAACAUGGCCAAGAUGUUCAAAUGUUCAUAAAUGACCAGCAUGGUCAAAUAAUAAUAAUCACAGGCAGAACAGUUGAAACUGAAGCAGCAGCACGGCCAGGUGGACUGGGGACAGCAAGGAGUCCUCAUGCCAGGUAGUCCUGAGGCAUGGUCCUAGGGCUCAGGUCCUCCGAAAGAAGGAGAGAAAGAGAGAAUUAGAGAGAGCAUACUUAUAUUCACACAGGACACCGGAUAGGACAGGAGAAGUACUCCAGAUAUAACAAACUGACCCUAGCCCCCCGACACAUAAACUACUGCAGCAUAAAUACUGGAGGCUGAGACAGGAGACACUGUGGCCCCAUCCAAUGAUACCCCCGGACAGGGCCAAACAGGAAGGAUAUAACCCCACCCACUUUGCCAAAGCACAGCCCCCACACCACUAGAGGGAUAUCUUCAACCACCAACUUACCAUCCUGAGACAAGGCCGAGUAUAGCCCACAAAGAUCUCCGCCACGGCACAACCCAAGGGGGGGGGGGGGGCGCCAACCCAGACAGGAAGAUCAUGUCAGUGACGGCAUGAAAGAGCACCAGUAAGCCAGUGACUCAGCCCCUGUAAUAGGGUUAGAGGCAGAGAAUCCCAAUGGAAAGAGGGGAACUGGCCAGGCAGAGACAGCAAGGGUGGUUCGUUGCUCCAGAGCCUUUCCGUUCACCUUCCCACUCCUGGGCCAGACUACACUCAAUCAUAUGACCCACUGAAGAGAUGAAUCUUCAGUAAAGACUUAAAGAUUGAGACCGAGUUUGCGUCUCUGACAUGGGUUGGCAGACCGUUCCAUAAAAAUGGACCUCUAUAGGAGAAAGCCCUGCCUCCAGCUGUUUGCUUAGAAAUUCUAGGGACAAUUAGGAGGCCUGCGUCUUGUGACCGUAGCGUACGUGUAGGUAUGUACGGCAGGACCAAAUCAGAAAGAUAGGUAGGAGCAAGCCCAUGUGAUGCUUUGUAGGUUAGCAGUAAAACCUUGAAAUCAGCCCUUGCCUUGACAGGAAGCCAGUGUAGGGAGGCUAGCACAAAAGCAUGGAUACAUUUUUCUGCAGGAUUUUCUUACAGAAAGUUUCUGAUUUUUGCAAUGUUAUGUAGAUGGAAAAAAGCUGUCCUUGAAACAGUGUUGAUAUGUUCGUGAAAAGAGAGAUCGGGGUCCAGAGUAACGCCAAUGGCCUUUACAGUUUUAUUUGAGACGACUGUACAACCAUCAAGAUUAAUUGUCAGAUUCAAUAGAAGAUCUCUUUGUUUCUUGGGACCUAGAACAAGCAUCUCUGUUUUGUCUGAGUUUAAAAGUAGAAAGUUUGCAGCCAUCCACUUCCUUAUGUCUGAAACACAGGCUUCCAGCGAGGGCAAUUUUGGGGCUUCACCAUGUUUCAUUGAAAUGUACAGCUGUGUGUCAUCUGCAUAACAGUGAAAGUUAACCUUGUGUUUCUGAAUGACAUCAUCAAGAGGUAAAAUACAUAGUGGAAACAAUAGUGGUCCUAAAACGGAACCCUGAGUAACACCGAAAUGUACAGUUGAUUUGUCAGAGGACAAACCAUCCACAGAGACAAACGGAUAUCUUUCCGACAGAUAAGAUCUAAACCAGGCCAGAACUUGUCCGUGUAGACCAAUUUGAGUUUCCAAUCUCUCCAAAAUAAUGUGGUGAUUGAUGGUAAUCACAAGCAGCACUACGGUCUAGGAGCACGAGGACAGAUGCAGAGCCUCGGUCUAGGAGCACGAGGACAGAUGCAGAGCAUCGGUCUAGGAGCACGAGGACAGAUGCAGAGCCUCGGUCUAGGAGCACGAGGACAGAUGCAGAGCCUCGGUCUAGGAGCACGAGGACAGAUGCAGAGCCUCGGUCUAGGAGCACGAGGACAGAUGCAGAGCCUCGGUCUAGGAGCACGAGGACAGAUGCAGAGCCUCGGUCUAGGAGCACGAGGACAGAUGCAGAGCCUCGGUCUAGGAGCACGAGGACAGAUGCAGAGCACUACGGUCUAGGAGCACGAGGACAGAUGCAGAGCCUCGGUCUAGGAGCACGAGGACAGAUGCAGAGCACUACGGUCUAGGAGCACGAGGACAGAUGCAGAGCCUCGGUCUAGGAGCACGAGGACAGAUGCAGAGCCUCGGUCUAGGAGCACGAGGACAGAUGCAGAGCCUCGGUCUAGGAGCACGAGGACAGAUGCAGAGCCUCGGUCUAGGAGCACGAGGACAGAUGCAGAGCCUCUGUCUAGGAGCCCGAGGACAGAUGCAGAUCCUCGGUCUAGGAGCACGAGGACAGAUGCAGAGCCUCUGUCUAGGAGCACGAGGACAGAUGCAGAGCCUCGGUCUAGGAGCACGAGGACAGAUGCAGAGCCUCGGUCUAGGAGCACGAGGACAGAUGCAGAGCCUCGGUCUAGGAGCACGAGGACAGAUGCAGAGCCUCGGUCUAGGAGCACGAGGACAGAUGCAGAGCCUCGGUCUAGGAGCACGA